rnacentral:misc_RNA from 1 species
UAUAGAGGCUGCACAGAAAUUUCCAAAGACUCUUUUUCACUCCUUUUCCCCCUUAUAAAAAGGACAACAAUGGAGCUUAACUGAUUCCAAUCUCUCCACCCAAACUCAGGAUCUUUCGAUGGUUUCUGGUCGUAUAAGCCUUUUUGAGCUAAUGGCUUCCUCGCACUGGUCUCAAUUCAUUUUCCUAGCAUUGCUAAUAGGUGAAAUAGCAGCAGCAGCGCCACCGAUA